GCUACAUGGCGCGUGUGGGGGAUUUGCAUAUCCUUAUGAGCGUACCUUCCAGUGCCUUCGAAUUUAUUUUUUUUCGUUUCUGGAGGCUCCGUUUGCGGGUGCACCUAAUGCUUUACCUGCAAGGAAUGUUGAGGUCCUGCACGGCAAGGGCAAGCACUAAUUAUUUCUCGUUUCCAGAGGCUCCGUUCGCAAAGCGCCUCAUGCUUUGCCAUGGCAUCCAAUCGCUGAAGAGCUGCUCAAUUGGGGUUUCAAGAGCUGAACGCCGAGCUCCGUGAUACAGUUUCUGCAGCUGUUUAUCUAUUUUCUUCUUUAUUGCCCUUCCGCACUUGCUUUGUAAAAGAGGGGGACCGCACUUUCAACAAUGCCAAAGGAGCAUUUAAAGGUUUCUGAAUAUCAGAGGCUCUGUUUGCGUGAGCAUCUCAUGCUUUGCAAGGUCACGCAAAAAUUAGAGAGCACGGAGGAUGCCGUGUGGGCUGUGCAAUGAAUGUUGAGGUCCUCCACGGCAAAUACGGCUUCUGGGUAAUCUCUGUCAAUGUUGCCGCUAGUUAGAAUCUGAAGAAGGGUUUGAGAAUCUGAAGGAUGGCAAAGGGGCAUUUACAGCUUUAUGGAUAUGAGAAGUGUUUCUGCAACACUGAUUCUUUAGUUUUUUCGCCUACCCACUAUUUUCGAAGCAGAGGACCGCGGCAAAUAUGACUGCCACCUGGGAAUGCAGAAGAACAAAUCGGGCGCCUUUGAUGGGCACAUGGUGCGGAACUCUGGAGCGGAUCAAUGUGGUAUGUUCUUUAAAUCUUUUUUAGGAUAAUAUACAGACAAAAUAAU